CUUGCCCCCAUCCUUCUCUCUCUCUCUCUUUCUCUCUCCCCCACCGUGUAAGGAUACAGCAAGAAGAUGGCCAUUUGCACACCAGGAAGAGGGGUCUCACCAGACAAAGCAUCUACCAGCACCUUGAUCUUGUACUUCCCGGCCUCCAGAACUCAGACAGUGAGACCAGAAUUCAUGGAGGAUUGAAGAGACCUGGUGGGGGCUAGAAGCAAGCUCAAACGAUAAACGCGUGGAAAACAGAAGCCGGAGCUCCGGUUUACUCUUCAGCUGCUGUUCCACUUACACGGACUCAAGAGCGCACAUUCCACACUUGGCCUCGCCUCUGAACAAAGCUAGUGUAUUUUCCUCAGUAAUUGUAGUGGACGGAGCAGAACUGGUUUGAAACUGACUGACUUGAAUGUUUCUUGAAUUAAUCCAUUAGUUAAUUAAUGAAGCAGUACCCA
rnacentral:lncRNA from 1 species